rnacentral:rRNA from 1 species
ACAAUGUGUGAUUCUUUCAUGGAUUAUGCAAUUGGAAUGACUACAAUUUAAAGAGUUUAAGGAGGAUCAAUUGGAGGGCAAGUCUGGUGCCAGCAGCCGCGGUAAUUCCAGCUCCAAUAGGAUAUAUCAAAGUUGUUGCAGUUAAAAAGCUCGUAGUUGAAUUUCUGGUGGGGUUUUUGUUGUGUGUUUUUUUGGUGAUGCAAAUCGCUAAAGAGCAUGCCACCCGCCAUAUUGUGGAUUCACUAGUCUUUAAUUUUGGUUUACUCUAAGAUUAAAGCUACCACUCAGUCACUGAGAGCAAAUUGGAGUGCUCAAAGCAGGCUUUAUUAGCUUUGAACAUUUUAGCUUGGAAUGACAAGAUAUGACCUUUGUUGUAUUUUGUUGGUUAUACAGUAAAAGUAAUGAUUAACAGGAACAGUUGCGGGGGUACUCGUAUUGAAAGGUCAGAGGUGAAAUUCUUGGAUUCUUUCAAGACGAACGACUGCGAAAGCAUUUACCAAGGAUGUUUUCAUUAAUCAAGAACGAAAGCUCGGGGAUCGAAGAUGAUUAGAUACCAUCGUAGUCCGACGCCAUAAACGAUGCCGACUCGGGAUUGUAUUGUUUUAGUCACAUUAAACACGACUCAAUGCAGCACCGUAUGAGAAAUCAAAGUCUUUGGGUUCCGGGGGGAGUAUGGUCGCAAGGCUGAAACUUAAAGGAAUUGACGGAAGGGCACACCAGAGGUGGAGCCUGCGGUUUAAUUUGACCCAACACGGGGAAACUUACCAGGUCCAGACAUGAUGAGGAUUGACAGUUUGAAAGCACUUUCUUGAUUUCAUGGGUGGUGGUGCAUGGCCGUUCUUAGUUGGUGGAGUGAUUUGUCUGGUUGAUUCCGAUAACGAACGAGACGGGGAGAGUUAACUAGCUUUUUGGAGUAACUCACGUUAUUCCGAGCUUCUUUGCUCGACAACUUGGUUUUACCAAGAGGAAGCACCCCGCAAUAACAGGUCUGUGAUGCCCUUAUAUGUUCUGGGCUACACGCGCGCUACAAUGACGAAUUCAACGAGUUUUCUUCUCCUUGCCCGGAAGGGUGUGGGUAAUCUUUUCAAUGUUCGUCGUGAUGGGGCUAGAUUAUUGCAAUUAUUAAUCUUCAACGAGGAAUCUCUAGUAUGUGUAAGUCAUCAGCUUGCGCAGAAUGCGUCCCUGCCCUUUGUACACACCGCCCGUCGCACCUACCGAUUGGACGAUCCGGCAAGAAGUUUGGAGAUGGGGUUUUGAAAGUAAUUUCUUAGCUUUGUCAAAGCUCUUCAAACCUUAUCGUCU